rnacentral:lncRNA from 1 species
GCAUUUUCUUUCUUAGGUACCAUGGUGAGAUGACGAAGGGAUGUUAUUCGUGAGAUUUCUUCUUCUAUUAGUGAUGAUAGUUGAAGGAGUGAGGAGAUGGAAAUGAGCGAGGAGAUUGAAGAAAGUGAAGAAGAGAGAUUUCCUUUACCCCAACUUGUGGUCAGGCGUCAAUGGGAGAGCAAAUCUUGAUGCCCUGAAACUACAAUCUUUGAUAGCGCUAGAUUCACAACUUUAAAAAAUUAAGAGUGGCACAAAAAUCAUGCUAACUUGGAGUUCAUUUUUGAAAAGCACAUCCACUCGAAAAUUGAGACAGUCUAUCAUAUCAUGGAGGCAUUUAACCAA